rnacentral:rRNA from 1 species
GGCUGUUGCAGACAUUCUUACGAUGUGCGUCUAACGGAGCUGGAGAGCUUGCUCUCCAAGAUCAGUGGCGAACGGAAGAGUAACACGUGAGCAACCUGCCCCGGACUCCGGGAUAACAGUUGGAAACAGCUGCUAAUACCGGAUACGAGCUGCGAAGGCAUCUUCAGCAGCUGGAAAGAACUUCGGUCUGGGAUGGGCUCGCGGCCUAUCAGCUAGUUGGUGAGGUAACGGCUCACCAAGGCGUCGACGGGUAGCCGGCCUGAGAGGGUGACCGGCCACACUGGGACUGAGACACGGCCCAGACUCCUACGGGAGGCAGCAGUGGGGAAUAUUGCACAAUGGGCGCAAGCCUGAUGCAGCAACGCCGCGUGAGGGACGACGGCCUUCGGGUUGUAAACCUCUUUUAGCAGGGAAGAAGCGAAAGUGACGGUACCUGCAGAAAAAGCGCCGGCUAACUACGUGCCAGCAGCCGCGGUAAUACGUAGGGCGCAAGCGUUAUCCGGAAUUAUUGGGCGUAAAGAGCUCGUAGGCGGUCUGUCGCGUCUGCUGUGAAAACCCGAGGCUCAACCUCGGGCCUGCAGUGGGUACGGGCAGACUAGAGUGCGGUAGGGGAGAUUGGAAUUCCUGGUGUAGCGGUGGAAUGCGCAG